rnacentral:rRNA from 1 species
UACGAAGGGGGCUAGCGUUGUUCGGAAUUACUGGGCGUAAAGCGCACGUAGGCGGACUAUUAAGUCAGGGGUGAAAUCCCGGGGCUCAACCCCGGAACUGCCUUUGAUACUGGUAGUCUCGAGUCCGGAAGAGGUGAGUGGAAUUCCGAGUGUAGAGGUGAAAUUCGUAGAUAUUCGGAGGAACACCAGUGGCGAAGGCGGCUCACUGGUCCGGUACUGACGCUGAGGUGCGAAAGCGUGGGAGCAAACAGG